rnacentral:rRNA from 1 species
AUUGAACGCUGGCGGCAUGCCUUACACAUGCAAGUCGAACGGUAGAGGGGCAACCCUUGAGAGUGGCGAACGGGUGAGUAAUGCAUCGGAACGUGCCUAGUAGUGGGGGACAACCAAGCGAAAGUUUGGCUAAUACCGCAUACGACCUACGGGUGAAAGGGGGGGAUCGCAAGACCUCUCGCUAUUAGAGCGGCCGAUGUCGGAUUAGCUAGUUGGUGGGGUAAAAGCCUACCAAGGCGACGAUCCGUAGCUGGUCUGAGAGGACGACCAGCCACACUGGGACUGAGACACGGCCCAGACUCCUACGGGAGGCAGCAGUGGGGAAUUUUGGACAAUGGGCGAAAGCCUGAUCCAGCAAUGCCGCGUGUGUGAAGAAGGCCUUCGGGUUGUAAAGCACUUUUAUCCGGAGCGAAAUCUCUUAGGCUAAUAUCCUGAGAGUCUGACGGUACCGGAGGAAUAAGCACCGGCUAACUACGUGCCAGCAGCCGCGGUAAUACGUAGGGUGCGAGCGUUAAUCGGAAUUACUGGGCGUAAAGCGUGCGCAGGCGGUUGUGUAAGACAGAUGUGAAAGCCCCGGGCUUAACCUGGGAACUGCAUUUGUGACUGCACGGCUAGAGUGUGUCAGAGGGAGGUGGAAUUCCGCGUGUAGCAGUGAAAUGCGUAGAGAUGCGGAGGAACACCGAUGGCGGAAGGCAGCCUCCUGGGAUAACA